rnacentral:rRNA from 1 species
CCUACGGGGGGCAGCAGUGGGGAAUAUUGGACAAUGGGGGCAACCCUGAUCCAGCCAUGCCGCGUGUGUGAAGAAGGCCCUCGGGUUGUAAAGCACUUUCAGUGAGGAAGAACGCCUGGUGGUUAAUACCCAUCAGGAAAGACAUCACUCACAGAAGAAGCACCGGCUAACUCCGUGCCAGCAGCCGCGGUAAUACGGAGGGUGCGAGCGUUAAUCGGAAUUACUGGGCGUAAAGCGCGCGUAGGUGGCUUGAUAAGCCGGUUGUGAAAGCCCCGGGCUCAACCUGGGAACGGCAUCCGGAACUGUCAAGCUAGAGUGCAGGAGAGGAAGGUAGAAUUCCCGGUGUAGCGGUGAAAUGCGUAGAGAUCGGGAGGAAUACCAGUGGCGAAGGCGGCCUUCUGGACUGACGCUGACACUGAGGUGCGAAAGCGUGGGUAGCAAACAGGAUUAGAUACCCCAGUAGUC